rnacentral:rRNA from 1 species
UACGUAGGGUGCGAGCGUUGUCCGGAAUUAUUGGGCGUAAAGAGCUUGUAGGCGGUUUGUCGCGUCUGCUGUGAAAAUCCGGGGCUCAACCCCGGACUUGCAGUGGGUACGGGCAGACUAGAGUGCUGUAGGGGAGACUGGAAUUCCUGGUGUAGCGGUGAAAUGCGCAGAUAUCAGGAGGAACACCGGUGGCGAAGGCGGGUCUCUGGGCCGAUACUGACGCUGAGGAGCGAAAGCGUGGGGAGCGAACAGG